CAUUGCGGUGGUUAAAAAGCAGGUUUUUCUUUUCCGAGUCGCAUAUAAUGAUUUACCAUAGUCAUUGUUGUGACUAUUUGCUGGUUUUAUAUAGGAAUUUUGAUUUCUUUAAUGGUUAGUGAAUUGUCUUUGAACAAAUCAGAAAUUUCAAAACAAGCUUUUGCUUGAAUGGUCGAUCAUGGAAUAAUGAGAGGACCUCGUUCUAUUUAUUGCUGCAGGAACCGAAAUCAUGAUUAGGAGGGAGAAAUCGGCGGUAUACUUAUCCCUGCGGGAGAGUUGAAAUUGGAAAGCAGGGAUUGCCGUAAAGUGAAAGCAUUUGCCAAAAAUGUGUUCAGUAAUCAAAAGCGUAAGUCAGAUUGAUGUUCGAAGCCGAUGAGAUGGUGCCCUAGUUAUGACCGUAAGCUAUGCUAUCUAGCGAUCUGAUGGGGUAUUGUUCAUUCGUCGAGCCGCUUCCCAGAAACGAGGUUCUUUUGGUUCCU
rnacentral:ncRNA from 1 species